UUUUAUUUGAGAGUUUGAUCCUGGCUCAGGAUGAACGCUGGCGGCGUGCCUAACACAUGCAAGUUGAGCGAUUUACUUCGGUAAAGAGCGGCGGACGGGUGAGUAACGCGUGGGUAACCUACCCUGUACACACGGAUAACAUACCGAAAGGUAUGCUAAUACGGGAUAAUAUAUUUGAGAGGCAUCUCUGAAUAUCAAGGUGAGCCAGUACAGGGAUGGACCCGCGUCUGAUUAGCUAGUUGGUAAGGUAACGGCUUACCAAGGCGACGAUCAGUAGCCGACCUGAGAGGGGUGACGGCCACAUUGGAACUGAGACACGGUCCAAACUCCUACGGGAGGCAGCAGUGGGGAAUAUGCACAAGGGCGAAGCCUGAUGCAGCAACGCCGCGUGAGUGAUGAAGGCCUCGGGUCGUAAAACUCUGUCCUCAAGGAAGAU
rnacentral:rRNA from 1 species